GACGAACGCUGGCGGCGUGCCUAAUACAUGCAAGUAGGACGCAGUUGCGAACGGGUGAGUAACGCGUAGGUAACUACCUAUUAGAGGGGGAUAAAUAUUGGAAACGAUAGCUAAUAACGCAUACUAGUAGAUGGACCUGCGUUGUAUUAGCUAGUAGGUAGGGUAAUGGCCUACCUAGGCAACGGUUCAUAGCCGACCUGGGAGUGGUAUCGGCAACACGUGGUCUGUGACACCGCCCAGACUCCUACGGGAGGCAGCAGUAGUGAAUCUUCGGCAAUUGGGGGAACCCUGACCUAGCAACGCCGCGUGAGUGAAGAAGGUUGUCGGAUCGUAAAGCUCUGUUGUUAAUGAAGCGGUACUUAACCAGAAAGGUCCGGCUAACUACGUGCCAGCAGCCGCGGUAAUUC
rnacentral:rRNA from 1 species